GGUGUUUGGAAUGAGGUUUGAUCCAAGAUCCUGUUAUGAUAUAUAGUCUUUAAUAUGAAAUAUAUAUAUAUAUAUAUAUAUAUAUAUAUAUGAAAUAGGGAUUCUCAACAUACAGGUUAAUUUUGUAUGAAAUCUAGGGAUGGAUCUCGGACCAGGCUUCAUUCCUCACACU
rnacentral:pre_miRNA from 1 species